rnacentral:tRNA from 1 species
UCCCUGGUAGUCCAGUGGCUAAGAUUCCGUGCUGUCAGCGCAGGAAGUCUGGGUUCGAUCCCUGGCCAGGGAA